rnacentral:rRNA from 1 species
UACGGAGGGUGCAAGCGUUAAUCGGAAUUACUGGGCGUAAAGCGUGCGUAGGCGGUUCGUUAAGUCUGUUGUGAAAGCCCCGGGCUCAACCUGGGAAUGGCAAUGGAUACUGGCGAGCUAGAGUGUGUCAGAGGAUGGUGGAAUUCCCGGUGUAGCGGUGAAAUGCGUAGAGAUCGGGAGGAACAUCAGUGGCGAAGGCGGCCAUCUGGGAACAACACUGACGCUGAGGCACGAAAGCGUGGGGAGCAAACAGG